rnacentral:rRNA from 1 species
GACGAACGCUGGCGGCGUGCUUAACACAUGCAAGUCGAACGGAAAGGCCCUGCUUUUGUGGGGUGCUCGAGUGGCGAACGGGUGAGUAACACGUGAGUAACCUGCCCUUGACUUUGGGAUAACUUCAGGAAACUGGGGCUAAUACCGGAUAGGAGCUCCUGCUGCAUGGUGGGGGUUGGAAAGUUUCGGCGGUUGGGGAUGGACUCGCGGCUUAUCAGCUUGUUGGUGGGGUAGUGGCUUACCAAGGCUUUGACGGGUAGCCGGCCUGAGAGGGUGACCGGCCACAUUGGGACUGAGAUACGGCCCAGACUCCUACGGGAGGCAGCAGGGGGGAAUAUUGCACAAUGGGCGGAAGCCUGAUGCAGCAACGCCGCGGGCGGGAUGACGGCCUUCGGGUUGUAAACCGCUUUCGCCUGUGACGAAGCGUGAGUGACGGUAAUGGGUAAAGAAGCACCGGCUAACUACGU